UCUGCUCGAGCACUCUCCCGACUCCCACCAGCCUGCGAGGUUUCUCCAGCAGGACGUGGCCCAGGAACCAGUACAGGCCGGCCGGGGUCUGGCCCACGUCCCGGCGCCGCCGGGUGUGUCACCGCGUGUCACCCCCCGCCCGGCCUGUCACCUCUCCCGGCCGCGGCCGGCCCAGACUUGAAGUUCCCGCCCCAAGGCCGUCCCGGGGCGGCUGUCGACCUUCCUCUACCCCGCGCCCAGAAAGGCUGCUCGGAAACUGCUGCGUCAGAACGGUUCGGGGUCGGCAGUCGGAGCCAGCUUUAAUUCGGGAGAGCCCUCCAGGCGAGCAGGCGGACCGUCGGGUUUGUUCACCUGUUCCGCCCGCUGCGGAUCGCACGGCGACCUCACAGCUCUGCAGAUGAACCUUGUUUAACCCAAUAAUAAACUCGAAAACCAAGCCCUGCUUAAGUACCUGAAAGGAAAGAAGUUACUCUUCGUUUCUCCUCUAAGACAAGUGGAUGGAUGAAGGUGAGAUACAGCUGCUUGUGAGGUACUGUUUUUUGUUUUUUGUUUGCCUGUUGCAUAAGACAUUAUCAUGCUCUGCAUGCUCCCUGUUGCAGUAGGAAAUACAUGACCCCUCAGUCCCAGCUCAUGGUUCAGAUCCUCAGAAGGAGACAAUGUUGAGAACCAGUGUGGCAGUCAAGUUCUAAAAAGACUGAGAGGUUAGGAACUCCUUGCUCAGACCUCAAGUCAGGUAGUACCAAUUAAACUGUCCUGAUGCAUUCACCCUGCAUAGCAUUUGUGUUGUACUGUAGUUUAUUUUAGUGUGGAUCUGUCUCCCCCACUAGAUGCUCAGAGAUUCUUAAUCUUGGAUUCUCUAGCACUCACCACAGUACCUCACACAUACUAGGAGCAAAACAAAUGUCUGUCUCCCCAUUCGCACUGUUUACUGAAUCUGUAGGCUCGGGGAGAAAAGGAGCACAGUGCAGUGGGUGGGAGACUGAAACCUUUCACCAGAAGCUCUCCAAUGGGUGUGUCUAAAUUUAGAGGCAGCAUCUGGGCCUAAACAUCCUCCCUGCCCGCUCCCCAGAAUGCUUUCACUGAAUCUGCCACCCCAGAUAUCCAAAACCCAAGGAUGGAGGGGAUUGCACACCGGAAGCAGGGUCCAGGGUCAUCCAUAAAUCAAAAUGCUGAUGCAGUUUUCACUAAUGGCUCUUGCUCGCCUAUUCCUGUCAGCCAGAGGGAAAGAAGUGUUCAUUGAAUUAAAUAAUUUGUUUCCGUCAAGGAAAUUUUUUUUAAUUUUGUGGUUAGCUGUAGUAUAAUACCACUAGCAGGCUGCUUUUUAAUGUACUAAAACAAUAAAAAAUAAAGUAUUUAAAGGCUUUUGCAUAAGUGUUCUGAUAUGGAAUGCUGCUGAGACUGUGAAAGUUAAAGAAAAACAAAUAGGCCUGGGUGGGAACAUGUCAUCGAUUCAGCAAGUUCACACAAUUUAGAGAAGUGCCCCUUAGGUACUCUGGUCAGACUUACUUAUUCUAAUUUUAGAUGCAUUUCAAAUGGGUGUGGUUUUGGUUAAAUGGUUUCCCAGGCCACAGUAAGUCAGAGAUAGCAAGUGAGAUAAGAGUUGGAGCCAGGCCCUCUGACACAUCAAGAAGUAACAGCAGGCAGCCUCGCCAUGAGUAAAGAGGCUGAAAAACCUAUAAAGAGCAGAUACAAAAACACAAAAAGAAUUUGGUGCAGGUUCCAGUACUCCCAGAUGACAUGCAUAGUGCGAAGUGAUGUUUAUGAUGAUGACCCUGAAUUAUCCAGAAAGAACUAUGGAUGGGGCAUUUUUUUUUCUAAUACAUGUAUGAAACACUUUAGAGGACAUGUGUAACAGAUAGUAGUAAGCUUUCCACUAAAAUAACUUAAGAAAAAAGAGAAGAUAAACAAUGUUGGCUCUUGAACAUAGAAGCUUUGGUGUUUUCACUCACUGUUUCCUGGGGCAUAUAUCUGAGGCCGGAUAAAUUGGGUAUAAUUGAGUUCCGAAUUCUUAAAUACCGACUUUUAAAAUGGCAUAGUUUUCAAUUUGUUUGGAGUUUUUGAUAGGGAAUCACCGAACAAGUUCAAGAAACCCAUUUUUAAGACAAAUGUCCAACUCUUUUCUAGCAGCAUACUUUUAAAGUACAUGCUGCACAUUUUUUAGUAUAAAUCCUAUCCUAAUCUCAGAAAAUGUGAUAAUUUUCCAUAUCAAUCCCCUAUUAAGUUCUAUAAAGAACUAGAACUUACACUGGACUUUAGCAUGCACUGUAUAUCCAUUCUGAACUUAUGUAAAACAACACAGAAACAAUGGGUAGACCUAAAUAUAUUGACCCAAAGGUCUAGUAGAUAAAGAGGUUUUUUUGGUUUAGUGAAAAAUACAGAUUGCUCUCUGAAGAAAAAUAGUGUCAUCACAGUAGUAUAGCCAGCUUUUGGCAUUAUAAUGGUCUUAAGUCGUUCAUAAAGGCUCUGUUCAUUUCUGUCUAAAGUAAAAGGUCUUAGUUUGUUUGCCCAGUCAUGACUCCCCAGGACCUCAAAUGAUAAUCACCUUCCGUGGAGAGGUUCAGAAGUGACCUGUGGCAGUUCAGCAAUAGGCUGAGGCUUCUUUUAUAUACUUUUUGAAGAAAUCUCAGGUGAUGGCAAUAACCAAAAUUAUGGCCUCUAUGGCCAGUAACAGAGAACUAAAUGAAAAAUGCUUUUUAUGAUGGUAGGAACUAAAACUCCAGUCAUGGUUUAAAUAGCUAUUAGAAUGUAGUUUCUAGUGCCUUAAAAAUGUGCUUAGCUCUUUGGGGGUAAAAAGCCAUUGAUGAACUCAGUAUAAAGUUUGCUGAGUAAUAUAUGUAUGUAAAAUUAGUUGGUAUAAUACUAUAGGUAUAAAAGCAUUGACUCAAGAUUCACAUUUGUCUUAAAUUGAAAAAUCAUACAUACUACAAAGCAUUUAAGCUAAAAUUUUACUACUGCAGGUAUAGAACUGCCCUUUGUGAAUUAAUGACUCCAGUGUUUUAAUUCAUUAAAAUAAAUCAAUGACCAAAAUAAAUUUUCAGAUGCAAUAUAGACAAUAUUAUUUUGCAAUUCUUUUCUCACUAAUUUCAUCUUAUUACCAUGUUAGUAUAUAGGUAUUUGGACUAAAUAACUGUCCUAUAAAAUCUAGUUCAACCCUAACAUUUUUUAUAUUAUACCAAAAUUCUACAAAUACUUAAACAUUUUAUAAUCGUUUACUGUGCAUCUGUUUUGGUUGUGAAACUACUUUUAUUAAAAUAUGGCAUUAAAAUAUAGUUCAAAUUUUUAAAAAUGUUUUUCCCCCUUUAUGCUUUAGAUAGAUCAAAUAUUUUCCUAAAGCUCAAUACAUUACAAUGCUCAAAAGUCCUAUAUGGUUUCCUAAUGCUGAUUUUUAUUUCCUUUGUUCCUGUGGUUUUAUUCAUGAUCUUUCACAAAUGCUGCCCAAUCAAAUUCAGUUUUCUGGGUUUAAGAUGCUGGAGGGGGAAGUAGUUCACUGACAGAGGUAUACAAUAGAUCUGGCCUCUAGUGCUGGCUCCAAGAAGCUGUGUGACCUUAGGAAAAUGUUGGACAUCUCUGGGCCUUAUUUUCCUCAUUGUAAAACACAACGGGCUGGACAAGCUGACUUCUGAGGUGCCUUCUGGCUCCAUAUUCUAUGACUUCGCAGUUCCGUUGCCAUAAAGUCAGCAGAGGGAGCACUUUUUCUACAUCUCAUAAAUUUUGACUUAUUUCAACACCUUUGAAAAAUCAAGAGUUAUGUGAAGAACAUUACUGAAAGUAAAAACUGACAAUCCUUCAGAGUUCAUAUCAAAUCACAGAUUUGGUUAUAAAUUUGAGAGAAGUCCAAAAAUAAUUAUUUCUGUUCCUUGAUUUCCAUGAUAAAGUCCUACAAGAAAAUUAUUUUGUAAAGGUUAAGCAUAUACUUAGUAUAUAAGGUAUGCUAAGAAAUUAAGCACUAAAUUAAGAAAUUAAGUGGUAUUUAUAUGGAACCCAGUAAAAGAGAAAACCAGAUCGUACAGCAGAGGUUAUGUGGUGUCAAAGAUGAAAAGUGGAAAACUCAUCAGUCAUAAAAACAUUAGGCAGUUGGGUCUAACAUUAACAAACCACACAAGUGAUUUGUAGGGGAUUUUUUUGCACUUUUCAUUAAGAUACACUGGCAGCAAGUACGUAGACACAGUCAAAGCCUGAAGGCUUGCAAGAGAU